GUGACCCUGCCGUGAUGGGCGGGGCGGCAGGGGAGGAACCAGACUGCGAGCGGAGAAGCGGAGUUUGCAGCCUCGGAAUUGGCUAGAGCGCCAGAGCCGAGUCAGCCAUAAAGCUACGCGCUAGGCUCUUGGCCCUGACGUGAGGCGCGCAGAGAUGGCGUAACGGGAAUAGUUUUCAACGUCUAUUUCAUUCCCUGCUUCAGAGGACCUCUUUAAUCUUUGAUUUUGGUCCCUGUUUCUAAGAAAAGCAACUGAAAAGGUCGUAAUACCGCCCCUGAGAAAAAAGGAGCAGCGCUAAAUAAUCGAGAAAAUGCCUCCUCUUGAAACGGAUAUAGAGAUGGAAACAAGAUAUAAGAAGGAUUGAGAAUCAUAUAAUACAGGAGCUUAAACACCUAUGCGCGAUGAUAAAGAGGGUACUAUUAGAGCGCUUGGAAAAUACCAGGAAGUUGAGAGAGUUAACAGAAGGGCGCACGCUGGAUUGGCCACAAAAUCGAAUUACUGAAGUAAGUGCAAAACGACAAAUUGUCACAGAAUACAGAGAAAAGGGGAAAAGAAAUUAAGAGGAGAAAAAGAGAGAUCUAGAGGGCCGGUCCAGGAGAUACAAUCUAUGCAUAAUAGGAAUACCUGAAACUGAGGACAGAGCAAGUGGAGCUGAAACAAUAAAGGAUCUACUUGAAAAAAUUUUCCAGAAUUGAAGAACGAACUAGAUCUACAAAUGGAAAAGGCUCAUAGGAUACCUUUAAAGUUUAAUGAAAAGAAAGCAGCAUCUAGACAUAUCCGGGUGACGUUUUUGAAUUUCAAAGACGAAACAUUUUACAAGCAUCCAGUCAGAGAAAGCAGGUUACUUACAAAGGGGCAAAAGUCAGGCUGACCUCAGAUUUUUCUCCUGCAAUUCUAAAUGCCAGAAGACAGUGGAACAAUAUCUAGAGUGUUAAGGGAAAAUAAUUUUGAGCCAAGAAUUAUAUACUCUGCCAAGUUAUCAUUUCUUUACAAAGGAAACUGGAAGACAUUCUUAGAUAUACAGGGGUUAGGAAAGUAUAUCAACCAAGAACUUUCCCUGAAAAUUUUGCUGAAGGAUUUACUGCAGCUAACAGAGAACCUGAAUUAAAAUAAGAAUAGGGAGGCAAUUGUAUGAAAGAACUGAUGGUAUGCAUUAAAACUAGUUAAGGAGCAUUAAGUUUAAAUUGUUAUGUAUAGGGCAUUAAAACUAAAUACAAAAAUAGAAACAUAAGCUGGGUGUAAAAUUUCAGUUUACGUUUAAACUGGAAGGGCAUACCACAUGUUCAAUAUAUUGGACAAAUACUGUUUUAUUUUUAGCAUGUAGUAUUGUAGAUACAAAUACGCAUGUUCUUAAGCUAAACCUAAGUAAAAGGGCUUUGUCACUGUAGAUUUGACAAAUAACAUUCUAAAUGUCAAAUCUGACAAUUGGAAAACAGUACAGUUUUAUUUCCCUUAUUUUUAAGUAUAGCAGGAAAAAAAUAACAAGUUUGUCCAUGUUACUACUGAUACUGUAAAGAAACUUCCAAAUCACUGGUUUGGGAGGGGGUGGAUACAUCCUCAUUUUCUGUACAUGAUGCAUGGGGAAAAACAGUAGUUACUGCAUCAUAUAGUUCCAAGUAAAUCAUAUAGUUCCAAGUAAAUUUGACAUGGAAAUAAGUGUUAACUACAAAAAUAGAAUAUAUACAUUCCAAUGUUUGGAAAAGAAGUGGUAAAAAGAAAAAUAGCAAAAAGACACUAAAAUUAGCAAAAAGUAGAUUGACAGUACAGAUGACCUAUAAACUGGUUAAAUAGCCCUAUUACAAUUGAAAUUGGGUCAAAAAUCAAUCUCUAACCUGAGAUACAUUUGUAUAAAACAAAUGAUCAAAGAGUUUAAAGAUAAUGGAAACUAUAAAUCAUAGAAAUGGCAACAUUUUUCUUAAAAUCUAAACAUAAGACAUUUUAUGUAAAACAUACAAUAUAGGAUGUAACAUUUAACAAACUAUAUGGUAAAUAAUAUGACAUUAAUAUAUAAAAUAUAUGUUCCAGAUCUUGAUGUGGGUGAUAGUUUUACUUAUGUACAUCGAUAUACAUCUAUUUAAAAACAUGUACAUUUAAAUUGUUGCAUUUUAUGUAUUUAAAAUUUAUUGAGUAAUCCUUCUGUAUGUAUUAUUAAAGAGAAUAUAGCAAAAAAA
ensembl:lncRNA OTUD6B-AS1 OTUD6B antisense RNA 1 (head to head)